UGGUGCCAGCAGUCGCGGUUAUACAAAUGAUGCAAAUAAAUCUUUUUAGUAAAAGUUAAACAAUUUAAAAUUUUUAUAAAAAAAGUUAUUAGGUGAAAUUUUAAUUUUUUAAAAAAAAUUAAAUAAAAAAUGUUGAAGCUUAAAAAUUUUUAUAAAAGACUAGGAUUAGAUACCCUAUUAUUAAAAAUGUAAUUAAUUUACUUGAGUAGUAUUAGUUAUGUUCUUGAAACUUAAAAAAUUUGGCGGUAUUUUAGUCUAUUCAGAGGAACCUGUCCUAUAAUCGAUAAUCCACGUUGGACCUUUCUUAAGUUUGUAAUCAGUUUAUAUACCGUCGUUAUCAGAAUAUUUUAAAAGAAGAAUAAUUUUCUAUAAUUUUUAUAAAAAUGUAUAUCAGAUCAAGGUGUAGCUUAUGCUUAAGAAGAGAUGGGUUACAAUAAAAUUAUUUGUGGAUAUAAUUAUGCAAAAAUUAUUGAAAUUGGAUUUGAUAGUAAAAUUAAAUAGAUUA
rnacentral:rRNA from 1 species